rnacentral:sRNA from 1 species
CUUGGUCAUUUAGAGGAAGUAAAAGUCGUAACAAGGUUUCCGUAGGUGAACCUGCGGAAGGAUCAUUACCUUUCAAUGCAGCAGAAUUGGGAUGGUUGAGUAUCUCGCCUUCCAAUUCUGCCUGUAUUCCACCCUUGUUUGUCAUACUAUUAUUUCCUCGGCAGGCUUGCCUGCCGAGUGAAACCAAUUAUAACCUAUUUAAUUUUCAAUCAGCGUCUGAAAAAAAUUAAUAAUUACAACUUUCAACAACGGAUCUCUUGGUUCUGGCAUCGAUGAAGAACGCAGCGAAAUGCGAUAAGUAGUGUGAAUUGCAGAAUUCAGUGAAUCAUCGAAUCUUUGAACGCACAUUGCGCCCCUUGGUAUUCCAUGGGGCAUGCCUGUUCGAGCGUCAUUUGUACCUUCAAGCUUUGCUUGGUGUUGGGUGUUUGUCCUGAGGGACUCGCCUUAAAGUAAUUGGCAGCCAGUGUUUGGUUUUGAAGCGCAGCACAAGUCGCGAUUCAAGGCUAUACACCAGCUUCCACAAGCCUUUUUCACUUUUGACCUCGGAUCAGGUAGGGAUACCCGCUGAACUUAAGCAUAUCAAUAAGCGGAGGAAAAGAAACCAACAGGGAUUGCCCUAGUAACGGCGAGUGGAGCGGCAACAGCUCAAAUUUGAAAUCUGGCUCUUUCAGAGUCCGAGUUGUAAUUUGCAGAGGGCGCUUUGGUGUUGGCAGCGGUCCAAGUUCCUUGGAACAGGACGUCACAGAGGGUGAGAAUCCCGUACGUGGUCGCUAGCCUUCGCCGUGUAAAGCCCCUUCGACGAGUCGAGUUGUUUGGGAAU